GACGAACGCUGGCGGCGUGCUUAACACAUGCAAGUCGAACGGAAAGGCCCUGCUUUUGUGGGGUGCUCGAGUGGCGAACGGGUGAGUAACACGUGAGUAACCUGCCCUUGACUUUGGGAUAACUUCAGGAAACUGGGGCUAAUACCGGAUAGGAGCUCCUGCUGCAUGGUGGGGGUUGGAAAGUUUCGGCGGUUGGGGAUGGACUCGCGGCUUAUCAGCUUGUUGGUGGGGUAGUGGCUUACCAAGGCUUUGACGGGUAGCCGGCCUGGGAGGGUGACCGGGCACAUGGGGACUGAGGUACGGCCCAGACGGCUACGGGAGGCAGCAGUGGGGAACAUGGCACAAUGGGCGGAAGCCUGAUGCAGCAACGCCGCGUGCGGGAUGACGGCCUUCGGGUUGUAAACCGCUGUCGCCGGUGACGAAGCGUGAGUGACGGUAAUGGGUAAAGAAGCACCGGCUAACUACGUG
rnacentral:rRNA from 1 species